rnacentral:rRNA from 1 species
ACAAAAAUGCACAUAUUGUGAGCUUGAUGAGUAGGGCGGGACACGUGGUAUCCUGUCUGAAUAUGGGGGGACCAUCCUCCAAGGCUAAAUACUCCUGACUGACCGAUAGUGAACCAGUACCGUGAGGGAAAGGCGAAAAGAACCCCGGCGAGGGGAGUGAAAAAGAACCUGAAACCGUGUACGUACAAGCAGUGGGAGCACGCUUAGGCGUGUGACUGCGUACCUUUUGUAUAAUGGGUCAGCGACUUAUAUUCUGUAGCAAGGUUAACCGAAUAGGGGAGCCGAAGGGAAACCGAGUCUUAACUGGGCGUUAAGUUGCAGGGUAUAGACCCGAAACCCGGUGAUCUAGCCAUGGGCAGGUUGAAGGUUGGGUAACACUAACUGGAGGACCGAACCGACUAAUGUUGAAAAAUUAGCGGAUGACUUGUGGCUGGGGGUGAAAGGCCAAUCAAACCGGGAGAUAGCUGGUUCUCCCCGAAAGCUAUUUAGGUAGCGCCUCGUGAAUUCAUCUCCGGGGGUAGAGCACUGUUUCGGCAAGGGGGUCAUCCCGACUUACCAACCCGAUGCAAACUGCGAAUACCGGAGAAUGUUAUCACGGGAGACACACGGCGGGUGCUAACGUCCGUCGUGAAGAGGGAAACAACCCAGACCGCCAGCUAAGGUCCCAAAGUCAUGGUUAAGUGGGAAACGAUGUGGGAAGGCCCAGACAGCCAGGAUGUUGGCUUAGAAGCAGCCAUCAUUUAAAGAAAGCGUAAUAGCUCACUGGUCGAGUCGGCCUGCGCGGAAGAUGUAACGGGGCUAAACCAU